CAGGCCCUCCAUCCCGCUGCCAGAGGACGGAUGCUCCUCCUCCUCCUCUUGGAGAGCUUGGGCCGGAGAGGCGGGGCGGAUCUGUGGGACGGGAUCCGGGGCUGCGCGCUGGCUGCGCGCAGGCACAACGGGGCGGGUGGAUCUGGGGGACGGGAUCCGGGGUGGAUCUGGGGGACGGGAUCCGGGUGGAGAGAGAGAGAGAGUGGGCACGGGAGAGAGAGUGGCCGGUUGGAUUUGGGAGAGGAGACGCACUGCCGGUUAGCAAUGGCGCCCCGUUCGGGGUGCGCCAUUAGAA
rnacentral:lncRNA from 1 species